GACGAACGCUGGCGGCGUGCUUUACACAUGCAAGUCGAACGGUGAAGGUGGAGCUUGCUCCGCCGGAUCAGUGGCGAACGGGUGAGUAACACGUGGGCAACCUGCCCCUAACUUUGGGAUAACUACUCGAAAGAGUAGCUAAUACCGGAUAUGAAGUCUGUAGGCAUCUAUGGAUUUGGAAAGUUUUUCGGUUAGGGGUGGGCCCGCGGCCUAUCCGCUGGUUGGUGAGGUAGUGGCUCACCAAGGCGACGACCGGUAGCCGGCCCGAGAGGGCGACCGGCCUGCCUGGGACUGGGACACGGCCCAGACUACUACGGGAGGCAGCAGUGGGGAAUAGUGCGCGAUGGGCGAAAGCCUGACGCAGCAACGCCGCGUGCGGGAUGAAGGCCUUCGGGUUGUAAACCGCUUUCAGCAGGGAAGAAGCGAAAGUGACGGGACCUGCAGAAGAAGCACCGGCUAACUACGUGCCAGCCGCCGCCGUAA
rnacentral:rRNA from 1 species